rnacentral:rRNA from 1 species
UCGAGAAUUUUUCUCAAUGGGCGAAAGCUUGAAGGAGCGACGCCGCGUGGGGGAUGAAGGGCUUCGGCCUGUAAACCCCUGUCAUUUGCGAACAAACCUGCUCAUCUAACACAUGGGUAGCUGAUUGUAGCGAAAGAGGAAGGGACGGCUAACUCUGUGCCAGCAGCCGCGGUAAUACAGAGGUCCCAAGCGUUGUUCGGAUUCACUGGGCGUAAAGGGUGCGUAGGUGGUGGAAUAAGUUCGAUGUGAAAUCUCCGGGCUUAACCCGGAAAAGGCAUUGAAUACUAUUUCGCUCGAGGGUCGGAGGGGAGACUGGAAUUCACGGUGUAGCAGUGAAAUGCGUAGAUAUCGUGAGGAACACCAGUGGCGAAGGCGAGUCUCUGGACGACUCCUGACACUGAGGCACGAAAGCUAGGGGAUCAAACAGG